UGUUAUAUCUUGUUAGUUCAAUCUGUACAAAAACGGAAGUGUAAAAAUGUCAAUUUGUCAUUUUACGAGGGUUAGUGUAUGUAACGGACUGUUUCUUGGCCAGGAGCAGUGACCACGUAACCAGCAGGAAGUUCAGAAGUUGCUGGUUUUUUAUGCUUUAUCCACGUGUGGAGACAUCAGCGUAUCUCACCUCUGCUGUUCAUGCGAAAGAAAUGCAAAGCUAUUGGCCAGGCCAGCGCCGUCAUCAGUAAGACUCCACCCACGUGUCAGACAAGACAGCGGUGGCUACGAUGGAGAAAGUCAGGCUCACCAGGAUCCCGAUCUGACAGCAAGACAAAAAGAAAAACACGUCAUCCAAAAACGAUGCAGUUAUCAUCUGAGUCAAUUAGUAUCAAGUUAUACAAAUAUACUUUAUGGAGCCAUCUGCUUUGUCUGUUUGUCUUUUCUUUUUGGCAGCUGGUUGUUUAAGCUUGAUUCACUCCAGAAAUCUCACUGACAAACACAUAUACACACACUCACCGAGCGCUUGAUUAGGAACAUCUGUGCACUCUAAUGUAACCCAAUACAACAGCUCUGUCACAAAUUUUUACUUCACUUUUACUUAUUGAGGUCGUAGUGAGUGUUGGUGGUGUACUGGAGUGUAUUAUAUUGAUAAGUGUUCCUAGAAUUUUGUCCACCCCAUUAACAUACACGAGGGGCAUACAUGAAGCAGUCCAGUACACCACCACCACCCACUAUGACCUCAAUAAUAAACACAAAGUAGAAUUAUCACCUUUCUGACAUUGUCAACAAAAACCGAAAAUGUAUAAAGCUUCGUAAAAGUUGAAUUUAUGGCAGCGCUGUUGCAUAAGAUUGUCCAGGUGUUCCUAAUAAAGUGCUCAAU